UGGGGAAUUUUGGACAAUGGGCGAAAGCCUGAUCCAGCAAUGCCGCGUGUGUGAAGAAGGCCUUCGGGUUGUAAAGCACUUUUGUCCGGAAAGAAAUCCUCUGGGUUAAUACCUCGGGGGGAUGACGGUACCGGAAGAAUAAGCACCGGCUAACUACGUGCCAGCAGCCGCGGUAAUACGUAGGGUGCAAGCGUUAAUCGGAAUUACUAGGCGUAAAGCGUGCGCAGGCGGUUUUGUAAGACGGAUGUGAAAUCCCCGGGCUUAACCUGGGAACUGCAUUCGUGACUGCAAGGCUAGAGUAUGGCAGAGGGGGGUAGAAUUCCACGUGUAGCAGUGAAAUGCGUAGAGAUGUGGAGGAAUACCGAUGGCGAAGGCAGCCCCCUGGGCCAAUACUGACGCUCAUGCACGAAAGCGUGGGGAGCAAACAGGAUUAGAUACCCUGGUAGUCCACGCCCUAAACGAUGUCAACUAGUUGUUGGGGAUUCAUUUCCUUAGUAACGUAGCUAACGCGUGAAGUUGACCGCCUGGGGAGUACGGUCG
rnacentral:rRNA from 1 species